rfam:Trichuris trichiura, WGS project CBXK01000000 data, contig: TTRE_937
GACAUGAGGAAUCGGACUGUGUAAUUAAAACAAAACGUUGUGACAGCCGGUGAUCAGUGUUGACGCAAUGUGAUUUCUGCCCAGUGCUCCGAAUGUCAAAGUAAAGAAAUUCAACCAAGCGCGGGUAAACGGCGGGAGUAACUAUGACUCUCUUGUCCUGAGGCUUUUUGCCGAUGGUUAUUUUGGGCCUGCUGCUUGGUUCAAGGAGUCGCAGGUGGCCU